CCGGCGACCGGCGCACGGGUGAGUAACACGUAUGCGACCUGCCCCCGCAGGGGAUAACCGGGAGAAAUCCCGACUAAUACCGCGUAACGCCGCGGACCUGCAUGGGUCUGCGGCCAAAGGAAGCGAUUCCGGCGGGGGAUGGGCAUGCGGCGCAUUAGCUAGUCGGCGGGGUAACGGCCCACCGAGGCGACGAUGCGUAGGGGUUCUGAGAGGAAGGUCCCCCACACUGGUACUGAGACACGGACCAGACUCCUACGGGAGGCAGCAG
rnacentral:rRNA from 1 species